AUUGAACGCUGGCGGCAGGCUUAACACAUGCAAGUCGAGCGGAGUGAUGGUGCUUGCACUAUCACUUAGCGGCGGACGGGUGAGUAAUGCUUAGGAAUCUGCCUAUUAGUGGGGGACAACAUCUCGAAAGGGAUGCUAAUACCGCAUACGUCCUACGGGAGAAAGCAGGGGAUCACUUGUGACCUUGCGCUAAUAGAUGAGCCUAAGUCGGAUUAGCUAGUUGGUGGGGUAAAGGCCUACCAAGGCGACGAUCUGUAGCGGGUCUGAGAGGAUGAUCCGCCACACUGGGACUGAGACACGGCCCAGACUCCUACGGGAGGCAGCAGUGGGGAAUAUUGGACAAUGGGGGGAACCCUGAUCCAGCCAUGCCGUGUGUGUGAAGAAGGCCUUAUGGUUGUAAAGCACUUUAAGCGAGGAGGAGGCUCUUUUGGUUAAUACCCAAGAUGAGUGGACGUUACUCGCAGAAUAAGCACCGGCUGACUCUGUGCCAGCCGCCGCAGUAA
rnacentral:rRNA from 1 species